GCCGCUCCGGGGCGCGACGGUUGCUAGGGCGACAGGGAUACAACAUGGCGGCCGGAUCCUAACGCUUCCUGUCCGGGGUUAGGGACCCUGCCUUAGAGGAGUGGAAGUCAGGGUCAGGGGGUCGUCCUUUCUGCCCCUUUCUUCUCGGUCCAGUUUCGGCGAGGGCUUGUCGUCGGCUUCCGCCUCCAGGAUGAAGAGUGAGCGAGGCCGGGAGGGGCUGGAGGGGCCGAGGCGGCCGCUGGGCGAUUCCGGGGCCGCGGCGGACUAUAAAGCCAUUGGCAAAAUAGGAGAGGGAACGUUUUCUGAAGUUAUGAAGAUGCAGAGCCUGAGAGACGGAAGCUACUAUGCAUGCAAACAGAUGAAGCAGCACUUUGAAAGUAUUGAGCAAGUGAACAAUCUGCGGGAGAUACAAGCACUGAGGCGCCUGAAUCCACACCCAAACAUUCUUACGUUGCAUGAAGUGGUUUUUGACAGAAAAUCUGGUUCUCUUGCACUAAUAUGUGAACUUAUGGACAUGAAUAUUUAUGAGCUAAUACAAGGGAGAAGACACCCAUUAUCAGAAAAAAAAAUUACGCACUAUAUGUACCAGUUAUGUAAAUCCCUUGAUCAUAUGCACAGAAAUGGAAUAUUUCACAGAGAUGUAAAGCCAGAAAAUAUAUUAAUAAAGCAGGAUGUCCUGAAACUAGGGGACUUUGGAUCCUGCCGGAGCAUCUAUUCCAAGCAGCCAUACACAGAGUAUAUUUCCACCCGCUGGUACCGUGCCCCAGAGUGUCUCCUCACUGACGGGUUCUACACCUACAAAAUGGACCUGUGGAGCGCUGGCUGUGUGUUCUACGAGAUCACCAGUUUGCAACCCCUCUUCCCCGGAGCCAAUGAGCUGGACCAGAUCUCAAAAAUCCACGAUGUCAUUGGCACACCUGCCGAGAAGACCCUCACCAAGUUCAAACAGUCGAGAGCUAUGAGUUUUGAUUUUCCUUUUAAAAAGGGAUCAGGAAUACCUCUACUGACAGCCAGCUGGUCCUCGCAAUGCCUCUCCCUCCUGCACGCCAUGGUGGCCUAUGAUCCUGAUGAGAGAAUCACCGCCCACCAGGCCCUGCAGCAUCCCUACUUCCACGAGCAGAGGGCAGCGGAGAAGCAGGCUGUGGCCAGCCACAGGAAAGCUUUCUUUCCAGAGCGCCCCGUGGCACCGGAACUACUCAGGAACGGCUGGCAAAUUUCAAAGGAGGACAGAAAGCAGAAACAGUCCCUAAGGCCAGGAGAGGACCAUCCCAAGAGACCCGGACCGGCCUGCCCCACGGAACUGCCCAGACUGACGCUGUCAGGAGUGACCAAGCUGUCCUCAUACUCCAGCCCCGCGCUGCCCUCCGCGUGGGGCCCCGGGGCCCACAGGAAAGCCCCGGCGCUGAGGCCCCUGAAGUGUGUGGGCGCCAACCAGAAGACAGACGCCCAGAAGGACAUUAAGCCCAAACAGUACCACCUGCCCACGAUAGAGAGGAAAGGCGGAGGCUACUGAGCAGCACGGGCUCACCUGCGCGGAGCACGACCAGGUGCAGCUGGGCCGGGCCGUGACGCCGCCCGCCUCGGACGGAGGGCUCCGGGGACAGGCCUGGCGCCGUCCCCCCGAGGCCGCUGCCCCACAGGCCAGCCGUACCCACUCAGCCCGGAGCCCCCAGCCUGGGGCUCUUUGCACCCCGAGGGCAGCUGCACUGUUGUGUGAGCAUAUUUGGGGAAUUUAUUUUGUUGGGAAGGCUUUGGUACAGCUUAAUUUUGUGGCACAUGGAAAGCCAGUAAGGACCCAGCACAGGCUCGGCCCGGGUGCCCCCGGGAGCUGCGGCCGGACGAGGCUGCCAAGCGCGAGGUGAGUCGGAGCGCCGGGCUUCCCCGAGGCCACGUCGCUUAGCUCUGGAGGCCCAGCCUUGCCUGUGAGUAGAGAUGCUACUUCCGAUGGCGCUUUGCUUGGCUUCCGGGGUGCCGGCAGCAGGUUGGACACAGAAGGGAACCUGCCUCUCCGUGGGGGUGGGGGGUGGGGUGCCGCAGAGGAGCAGUGGUCCUGGGCCGCCUGUGGGCGGGGGCACGACCCUCCUGAGCCCUUUUGUCUUGGGAUGUAACAUAAUGACACCUUCUUUUUCUCGUCUUCACAAACUUACAAUGGUUAGAAGAAGCAAAUUUCCCAGGUUAGUCUUCGGCCUCUUGUUCCCUCUUUUAAGACAAAUCUGUGACAGUCUUCCAUGUGCUCUCUGGUGGCCACGACCUCUGCACCCACCUGCCACCUGGGGGCAGAUUCAAGACCAGACACCAGGCUAUGGGGAUGUUCAGAACUGGGUGCACACAUGUGGAAGGGAUGGAAAGAGCUUCCUCUGAACUGGUUUAACACGCUGGUGGGGCCUUCAGGAUGCCCGAUGGGGAAGGGGCAUGGGGGACAGGCAGGGUGCCAUUCAGCCUCUGCAGGGGAUCUGGGAGUUCCAGGUCCCAUGGGAGGAGGCCAGAGCCAGGUGGGGCUGUGGCCCUGCAGCAGGAAGGCCGGGGAGACAGGAGCGGGUGC